rnacentral:rRNA from 1 species
UGGGGAAUAUUGCACAAUGGGCGCAAGCCUGAUGCAGCAACGCCGCGUGAACGAUGAAGGUCUUCGGAUCGUAAAGUUCUGUUGCAGGGGAAGAUAAUGACGGUACCCUGUGAGGAAGCCCCGGCUAACUACGUGCCAGCAGCCGCGGUAAUACGUAGGGGGCUAGCGUUAUCCGGAUUUACUGGGCGUAAAGGGUGCGUAGGUGGUCUUUCAAGUCGGUGGUUAAAGGCUACGGCUCAACCGUAGAUAGCCUCCGAAACUGGAAGACUUGAGUGCAGGAGAGGAAAGUGGAAUUCCCAGUGUAGCGGUGAAAUGCGUAGAUAUUGGGAGGAACACCAGUAGCGAAGGCGGCUUUCUGGACUGCAACUGACACUGAGGCACGAAAGCGUGGGUAGCAAACAGG